GUCUAUGGCCAUACCAACCUGAACAUGCCCGAUCUCAUCUGAUCUCAGAAUCUAAGCAGGGUCGGGCCUGGUUAGUACUUUGAUAGGAGGAUUUGACCACGUAGAAA
ensembl:rRNA 5S_rRNA 5S ribosomal RNA